CCGCUUCUCCUCCUGCUUCUCCUCCUGCUUCUCCUCCCGCUUCUCCUCCUGCUUCUCCUGCUGCUUCUCCUCCCGCUUCUCCUCCUGCUUCUCCUGCUGCUUCUCCUCCAGCUUCUCCUGCCUCUAACAGCAGUCUCUCAUCUUCUGACCUAGGCUCCUCUGGCAGGAGGCGCAGGGAGGACAGCGACUCGGAGGACGAGGAGCCUGCUGCCAAGGUGCCACGUUGGUGACGACAGCGACUCAGAUUGAGGAUGGUUGUGAAAACCCAGGUAGCAUCUUGCACUGGGACCAUCCAUCAUCUCCGUAUGUAAAUAGUUCCAAACAUUUAUUGGUUAUCAUCUAGUUAAGUUAAGUUAUUUAGUUAAGUUUUUUAACUCUGUGGGGUGGCCUUUGCGUCUGGCUGGGCAAACAAACCCCCCGACAGCAUCUGCGUCUGGCGGGGCUGUCCACAAACCCAGGUAGCGUCUUGCACUGAGUUUUUUUUUUGUUGUUUUAAUCCUGCCCUCUUUCUUUGACGUGACGACUGGGUUGACUUUUCUUUCCUCCUGGGCGGAAAUGCUGCGGGAAGCCCUUGCAACUGGCAGGGCUGUCGACCCCUCGUCUAAAGGGCAGGAUAGGAUACUAACUUAAUUGUGUGGUGAGAGAGAGAGGAAAACGGCAAAAAGCUGCAAAGAAAGAUCAAACUAAGCCACUUCCACUCUCACCACCAUGAAAGCUCCUUAAAGGAGCAUUUUAGACUCAAUGCAGCUUUUAAAAAAGCCAAAACAACCAAACUCUGACCAAACAGACGACAUCUUGUGGAGCUCCAUCUUCUUCAGGUAAUUAAACAUUGAAUAUGAUUGAUUCAAAAAUUCAAACAAGCUUACUAACCUAUUUUUCUCUUACCAGCCAAAAAAAGUAAGUACAAGCUUCCCAUCAGAUAUAAUAUUACUCAAAGCAUCCAUAUAAUAUGACAUUUUCAAUAACUGCACGAUUCACAGAUUGUUUGACUCAUGCUUUUGUCUUCCUCUCCCUCCCGAGCUGCUGUCGUUCACCGUACAUCGUCAGUUAUGUUACUGUGAAUCAUAUACUUAUUUAGUAAUUCAGAGGUUAUUUGUCUGUAUCACUAACUAUUCCUUAUUGUAUGUUUGUCUCCCCACCCACCGCCUGAGCUGCCGCUGUUCACCGUGUCCUAAGGCCCCCUGAACGAGGACGAAAACCAAAGCACACAAAUAAACCGUCACAUCAGUCCACUGAGCUGACUUUGUCACUUUGCUUUAAAACUUAACUGUAUUAAUGUUAAAUAAAACACUCAGAAGU